rnacentral:rRNA from 1 species
UACGUAGGGUGCAAGCGUUUGUCCGGAUUUAUUGGGCGUAAAGAGCUCGUAGGUGGUUUGGUAAGUCGGGUGUGAAAGCUCAGGGCUCAACCCUGAGAGGCCAUUCGAUACGGGACGACUAGAGGUAGGUAGGGGAAAGUGGAAUUCCUGGUGUAGCGGUGAAAUGCGCAGAUAUCAGGAGGAACACCGGUGGCGAAGGCGGUCCCCUGGGCCGGAACUGACGCUGAGGCGCGAAAAGCGUGGGGAGCAAACAGG